CAAGUACUCCCUCCAUUCCAAAUUACUCAUCGUAGAAAUAGAUGUAUUUAGAACUAAAAUACAUCUAGAUACAUCCAUUUCUGCGAUGAGUAAUUCGGAACGGAGGGGGUAGUUU
rnacentral:pre_miRNA from 1 species